GGAGUCGGCCGGACAGUCGCGUGUGCCUUCGGGUACUCGAGGAAAGUCCGGGCUCCACAGGGCAGGGUGCCAGGUAACGCCUGGGCGGUGCAAGCCGACGGCCAGUGCAACAGAGAGCAGACCGCCGAUGGCCGCCAUCCUCGUGAUGACGGAUCAGGCAAGGGUGAAAGGGUGCGGUAAGAGCGCACCGCGCGCGGGGACAACGUCGCGUGGCACGGUAAACCCCACCCGGAGCAAGACCGAAUAGGGGAACGAUAACGCGGCCCGCGUUGUUCCCGGGUAGGUUGCUGGAAUCUGGCGGUGACGCCAGGUCGAGAUGAAUGACUGUCGCGUCGCAAGACGUACAGAACCCGGCUUACAGGCCGGCUCCGCAC
rnacentral:RNase_P_RNA from 2 species